rnacentral:rRNA from 1 species
GACGAACGCUGGCGGCGUGCUUAACACAUGCAAGUCGAACGGAAAGGCCCUGCUUUUGUGGGGUGCUCGAGUGGCGAACGGGUGAGUAACACGUGAGUAACCUGCCCUUGACUUUGGGAUAACUUCAGGAAACUGGGGCUAAUACCGGAUAGGAGCUCCUGCUGCAUGGUGGGGGUUGGAAAGUUUCGGCGGUUGGGGAUGGACUCGCGGCUUAUCAGCUUGUUGGUGGGGUAGUGGCUUACCAAGGGUUUGACGGAAACCCGGCCUAGGAGGGGGACCGGCCACAUUGGGACUGAGAUACGGCCCAGAAGCCUACGGGAGGCAGCAGGGGGGAAUAUUGCGGAAUGGGCGGAAGCCUGAGGCAGCAGCGCCGCGUGCGGGAUGACGGCCUUCGGGUGAUAAACAGCUUUCGCCUGUGACGAAGCGUGAGUGACGGUAAUGGGUAAAGAAGCACCGGCUAACUACGUG